GACGAACGCUGGCGGCGUGCUUAACACAUGCAAGUCGAACGGAAAGGCCCUGCUUGCGGGGUGCUCGAGUGGCGAACGGGUGAGUAACACGUGGGUGAUCUGCCCCUUACUUUGGGAUAAGCCUGGGAAACUGGGUCUAAUACUGGAUAGGACCAUGCUGUAGGUGGUGUGGUGGAAAGAUGAGUUUCGGUAAGGGAUGAGCUCGCGGCCUAUCAGCUUGUUGGUGGGGUAAUGGCCUACCAAGGCGUCGACGGGUAGCCGGCCUGAGAGGGUGGGCGGCCACAUUGGGACUGCGAUACGGCCCAGCCUCCUACGGGAGGCAGCAGUGGGGAAUAUUUCGCAAUGGGCGCAAGCCUGAUGCAGCGACGCCGCGUGGGGCAUGACGGCCUUCGGGUUGUAAACUCCUUUCAGCCAUGACGAUGCCCUUGUGGUGACGGUAGUGGUAGAAGAAGCACCGGCUAACUACGUG
rnacentral:rRNA from 1 species